AGCUAAGGGUUUGCAACACCUGCUAGGAUGUCUAUCUUGCAAACAUGAUCUAAUCCAAUUAGACCCUUGAUAAGUUUUCUUAUGUGUGACCCAUUGGGUUCCAUACUUAGCCAGCAAUAGGUGUGAGUGCGAGUUGACCCAACUUGAUUAGAACUCUUCUAAUCGAUUUAAGUCCAAACUGCGCGAACCCAAACUUAACAAUUAGAAUCCUUUCUAAUUGGUGAUCGAAUUAAACUCUUUAAUUCGAUCAAACCUAUAAGACAAGAUUGACGUCUAGC
rnacentral:lncRNA from 1 species